GGGAGCAUGUGGCUUAAUUUGACUCAACGCGGGGAAUCUUACUAGGUCCGGACCGAGUCUAUGAACGUCGUACCGUUGGGUGCUACGUGAUUACUGGAUGAGUGAUGCAUGGCCGUUCUUAGUUCGUGGUGUUAAUUGUCUACUUAAUUGUUAUCGUUCCCGUAUCUCUCGGUACGGAGCGCAUAACGAACGAGAUCGAGACCCGUGGUUUACGUCUUAGGUUAUUUGUGUACGACGUUUAAACUACGGGGAUCGCGUAAUACUCAACGGUACGAUCGAAAGACUCGGCAAUAACAGGUCUGUGAUGCCCUCAGAUGUUCUAGGCUGCCCCCGUGCUACAUUGUGAGUUGUAGUAUAUUGUGUAUGCGUAGAUAUGUCUAAGAUCCCCCGCAUCGAGUCUCAAUUACUCACGGGGUUGGACUCACCGAUUGCUUAAUUAUUC
rnacentral:rRNA from 1 species